AGGGGCUGGAGAGAUGGCUCAGUGUU
rnacentral:piRNA from 2 species